UACGUAGGGUGCAAGCGUUAAUCGGAAUUACUGGGCGUAAAGCGUGCGCAGGCGGUUGUGCAAGACAGAUGUGAAAUCCCCGGGCUUAACCUGGGAACUGCAUUUGUGACUGUACGGCUGGAGUGCGGCAGAGGGGGAUGGAAUUCCGCGUGUAGCAGUGAAAUGCGUAGAUAUGCGGAGGAACACCGAUGGCGAAGGCAAUCCCCUGGGCCUGCACUGACGCUCAUGCACGAAAGCGUGGGGAGCAAAACGG
rnacentral:rRNA from 1 species